GAGUUUGAUCCUGGCUCAGGAUGAACGCUGGCGGCGCAUUUAAGACAUGCAAGUCGAACGGAAAUGUAUUUUUUGUUUACAAUAAAUAUAUUUUAGUGGCGGACGGGUGAGUAAUACGGAGAUAAUCUGCCUUUCAGAGAGAAAUAACAAGAGGAAACUCUUGCUAAUGUCUCAUAAGACCACACUGUGGCUUCACAGAGAGGUCAAAGGGGAAACCCGCUGAAAGAUGAGUCUACGGCUGAUUAGUUAGUUGGAGAGGUAAUGGCUCACCAAGACGAUGAUCAGUAGCCGGGCUGAGAGGCUGGCCGGCCACAUUGGGACUGAGACACGGCCCAGACUCCUACGGGAGGCAGCAGUUGGGAAUAUUGGACAAUGGAGGAAACUCUGAUCCAGUGACGCCGCGUGAAGGAAGAAGGUCUUCGGAUUGUAAACUUAUUUUGUCAGGGAAGAAAAAAAUGACUGUACCGGAAUAAAAAGCACCGGCUAACUACGUGCCAGCAGCCGCGGUAAUACGUAGGGUGCAAGCGUUAUCCGGAUUUACUGGGUGUAAAGGGCGAGUAGACGGCGUUGCAAGUCAGAUGUGAAAACCUAGGGCUCAACCGUAGGACUGCAUCUGAAACUGCAAUGCUAGAGUGCAGGAGAGGUAAGCGGAAUUCCUAGUGUAGCGGUGAAAUGCGUAGAUAUAGGAGGAACACCAGUGGCGAAGGCGGCUUACUGGACUGUAACUGACGUUGAGGCGCGAAAGUGUGGGGAGCAAACAGGAUUAGAUACCCUGGUAGUCCACACUGUAAACGAUGGAUACUAGGUGUAGGCAUGCAUGUGUCUGUGCCGGCGCAAACGCAAUAAGUAUCCCACCUGGGGAGUACGGCCGCAAGGUUGAAACUCAAAGGAAUUGACGGGGGCCCGCACAAGCAGUGGAGUAUGUGGUUUAAUUCGACGCAACGCAAAGAACCUUACCAAGACUUGACAUAUACAGGAAAGUCUAAGAAAUUAGACCCCUCUUCGGAGUCUGUAAACAGGUGAUGCAUGGUUGUCGUCAGCUCGUGUCGUGAGAUGUUGGGUUAAGUCCCGCAACGAGCGCAACCCUCGUGAUUAGUUGCCUCUAGGAGGAACUCUAGUCAGACUGCCGUAGUUAAUACGGAGGAAGGUGAGGAUGACGUCAAAUCAUCACGUCCCUUAUGUCUUGGGCUACACACGUACUACAAUGGGCGUUACAAAGAGAAGCGAAACCGCGAGGUGGAGCAAAACUGAAAAAGGCGUCCCUAGUUCGGAUUGUAGGCUGCAACUCGCCUACAUGAAGCUGGAAUUGCUAGUAAUCAUAGGUCAGCAUACUAUGGUGAAUACGUUCCCGGGCCUUGUACACACCGCCCGUC
rnacentral:rRNA from 1 species